UGUUUGAAUAAGCCAUUAGGUGUUUAGAGAAAGGGCAACAAAAAGGUUUUAGCAUUAUAUGGAAAGUCGAAAACAAUUCGGAAAAUUCAACACAAGGGAACACUCUCAAGUGAAGACAGAAAUGUAUCUCAAGACGUUAAAUGCAAAUGAAGCCCAAUCAAAAAUUAUAUAAGGAUUACAUUAUAUAGAUUUCAAACAUUUCAAAUUCCAUUUCAUUUUUAUUUUUCAAAAGAUUAAUUUUGAAACGCGGAAAUGACUUUCAUUAUUGAUGAAUUUUUCUUUAUUUUCGCUCGUUCCAUUCAG